rnacentral:rRNA from 1 species
ACGAGUGUAAGGUUCUAGCGAGCCCAACCUCCCACCCGUGUUUACUGUACCUUAGUUGCUUCGGCGGGCCCGCCAUUCAUGGCCGCCGGGGGCUCUCAGCCCCGGGCCCGCGCCCGCCGGAGACACCACGAACUCUGUCUGAUCUAGUGAAGUCUGAGUUGAUUGUAUCGCAAUCAGUUAAAACUUUCAACAAUGGAUCUCUUGGUUCCGGCAUCGAUGAAGAACGCAGCGAAAUGCGAUAACUAGUGUGAAUUGCAGAAUUCCGUGAAUCAUCGAGUCUUUGAACGCACAUUGCGCCCCCUGGUAUUCCGGGGGGCAUGCCUGUCCGAGCGUCAUUGCUGCCCAUCAAGCACGGCUUGUGUGUUGGGUCGUCGUCCCCUCUCCGGGGGGGACGGGCCCCAAAGGCAGCGGCGGCACCGCGUCCGAUCCUCGAGCGUAUGGGGCUUUGUCACCCGCUCUGUAGGCCCGGCCGGCGCUUGCCGAACGCAAAUCAAUCUUUUUCCAGGUUGACCUCGGAUCAGGUAGGGAUACCCGCUGAACUUAAGCAUAUCAAUAACCGG